rnacentral:rRNA from 1 species
AGUGAACGCUGGCGGUAGGCCUAACACAUGCAAGUCGAACGGCAGCACAGUAAGAGCUUGCUCUUACGGGUGGCGAGUGGCGGACGGGUGAGGAAUACAUCGGAAUCUACUUUUUCGUGGGGGAUAACGUAGGGAAACUUACGCUAAUACCGCAUACGACCUACGGGUGAAAGCAGGGGAUCUUCGGACCUUGCGCGAUUGAAUGAGCCGAUGUCGGAUUAGCUAGUUGGCGGGGUAAAGGCCCACCAAGGCGACGAUCCGUAGCUGGUCUGAGAGGAUGAUCAGCGACACUGGAACUGAGACACGGUCCAGACUCCUACGGGAGGCAGCAGUGGGGAAUAUUGGACAAUGGGCGCAAGUCUGAUCCAGCCAUACCGCGUGGGUGAAGAAGGCCUUCGGGUUGUAAAGCCCUUUUGUUGGGAAAGAAAAGCAGCAGGUUAAUACCCCGCUGUUCUGACGGUACCCAAAGAAUAAGCACCGGCUAACUUCGUG